CGACCGGCAAACGGGUGCGGAACACGUACGCAACCUUCCUUCAAGCGAGGGAUAGCCCAGAGAAAUUUGGAUUAAUACCUCAUAGGAAUGUAGUCUCGCAUGAGACAGCAUUUAAAGAUUUAUCACUUGAAGAUGGGCGUGCGUCUGAUUAGGUAGUUGGUGAGGUAACGGCUCACCAAGCCGACGAUCAGUAACUGGCGUGAGAGCGCGACCAGUCACACGGGCACUGAGACACGGGCCCGACUCCUACGGGAGGCAGCAGUAAGGAAUAUUGGUCAAUGGACGCAAGUCUGAACCAGCCAUGCCGCGUGGAGGAUGAAGGCCCUCUGGGUUGUAAACUUCUUUUAUUUGGGACGAAACACUUUCUUUCUAGAGAGCUUGACGGUACCAGAUGAAUAAGCACCGGCUAACUCCGUGCCAGCAGCCGCGGUAAUACGGAGGGUGCAAGCGUUAUCCGGAUUCACUGGGUUUAAAGGGUGCGUAGGCGGAUAUGUAAGUCCGUGGUGAAAUCUCCGAGCUUAACUCGGAAACUGCCAUGGAUACUAUAUAUCUUGAAUGUUGUGGAGGUUAGCGGAAUAGUUCAUGUAGCGGUGAAAUGCUUAGAUAUGACCUAGAACACCGAUUGCGAAGGCAGCUGGCUACACAACGAUUGACGCUGAGGCACGAAAGCGUGGGGAUCAAACAGGAUUAGAUACCCUGGUAGUCCACGCCCUAAACGAUGAUUACUCGACAUUUGCGAUAUACAGUAAGUGUCUGAGCGAAAGCAUUAAG
rnacentral:rRNA from 1 species